UUUCUACUCCCUCCGUGUGAAAAUACUUGUCAUCAAAAUGGAUAAAAAGAGAUGUAUCUAAAACUAAAAUACUUCUAGAUACAUUUCCUUUUAUCCAUUUUGAUGACAAGUAUUUCCGGACGGAGGGAGUAUUUU
rfam:Triticum aestivum genome assembly, contig: Triticum_aestivum_CS42_TGACv1_scaffold_224527_3B